AGUGAACGCUGGCGGCAGGCCUAACACAUGCAAGUCGAACGGCAGCACAGAGGAGCUUGCUCCUUGGGUGGCGAGUGGCGGACGGGUGAGGAAUACGUCGGAAUCUGCCUAUUUGUGGGGGAUAACGUAGGGAAACUUACGCUAAUACCGCAUACGACCUACGGGUGAAAGCGGAGGACCUUCGGGCUUCGCGCAGAUAGAUGAGCCGACGUCGGAUUAGCUAGUUGGCGGGGAAAGGCCCACCAAGGCGACGAUCCGUAGCUGGUCUGAGAGGAUGAUCAGCCACACUGGAACUGAGACACGGUCCAGACUCCUACGGGAGGCAGCAGUGGGGAAUAUUGGACAAUGGGCGCAAGCCUGAUCCAGCCAUGCCGCGUGUGUGAA
rnacentral:rRNA from 1 species